AGCGCCAGGGUGUAUCGAGACUGUCAUUAUCCCAGCGGGAGGGGGAGGUGUAGGAUACCAGGGUGGGAUUGGGGGUGCUUAGGGAAGAGUCUGGAAGGAGGGGCAGAAGAGUGUCCACGACAGCCUUCCCCAGCUGCCCUGUGGCACUAGGGCAAACACGAUCCCAUGUGCAUUAGCCCAGGGGCGGGAGCUGCCCCUCCGCUUGAUUCCGUCUCUUUUACAGUGUGCCAUUAUUCUGAGCAGGGAGGCUGCAGCCCCAAGAAUUCCUUACCCGGUGGAUUGUUGUGGCUUUUCCCAUUCACUUUGGAAUCUCAGAAGGCUGGAGGAUGAGGAGCUGUUGAAGAGCUGUGAGCAGGGGUUCGCUGGCCAACGGGUGUGGCCGUGGGCACGGUCACCUUCUCCAGCACACAGUCUGCGUAGAGAAAACAGAAUGACCAUAUUCAGACGGAUGGCUCUUUACUGCCUGUGGCUUCUGGUUUUCCUGCCCGAAUGGACCUUGGAGCCAGGCUGCCCAGGGGCCCCCCAUGUACCCCUGGAGGCCAAGGCCGUGCAGAGGGCACCGCGUGGAGUACCGGACACAUAAGGGGACAGGGUUCGAGGCGGUGAACAGAGACCCCUGUGGGGGGCGCUGAAGUCUAACAAACAGGCCCUUGGAGCCCCAUGCUGCAGCCAUGUCUUCUGGGGCCAGCGUGAAUGCCCUGCAGUGCCUGAUGGAGCCGCUCCAACUGGAGGCCGGAUUGGAGAGAUUCAAGGUCUUGCAGGCAGCUGCAGAGCUUCAACAGUACUGUAUGCAGAAUGCCUGCUGGUAGGUGUUCUGGCUGGAAGCAACACCUUCCAGGGGCCCAGAUCCUAUGCUUUAUCCCAAAGGCUGGGAAGAAGUUUGCUGAGGAAUGCUUUUAAGCCUAAAGUGAUGAAUGACUGCCUCCAAGUCUCAAGAAAACACUUCUCCAGCCAAAUGACUUAGAUAUUUCCGACCUUUCCUGUGGCCAAAAUUCUACAGAAAGUGAUGUUUCCUAUUCAGAUAAGGAAACUGGGUGAAGGAGGAGACUUUAAAUAAUAAUGGCCUGAUUCUUUGGGGAAAGUGCUUUUAUAUUUAAGACCAACAAAAAUGUUGCCACCAAAUACAUACUUUCAUAAGCAAAUUACUAGUGUUUCUAGACCUGGAAUAUUAUGCCUGUUGUAUUAACUGGACGCUUGCAUUUUGGGAAGAGAAACAUUUUUGUUUGUUAAAAACUUGAGUAUUUCGGGGCACCUGGGUGGUGUAGUCCGUUAAGCAUCUGACUUGAUUUUGGCUCAGGUCAUGAUCUCAUUGUCCUGGGAUCCAGUUCCAAGUCAGGCUCUAUGCUCAGCAGGGAGUCUGCUUCUCCCUCUCCCUCUGCUCCUACCCCCACUUGUGCUCCCUCUCUCUCUCUCAAAUAAAUAAAUAAAUCUUAAUUUUAAAAAAAUUGGGUAUUUCAUUAAUUUGUUGUUCCUAAGAUUUUUAUCCCAUAACAAAACUUGUUCUUUUCUUGUGAAUUUAAGUUUCUAAAUGAAAACAAGCAAGUAUAAAACUGGGGGAAGAAUGGGCUUUAUUAAUCAAAUGAUGUUCUGAUUUUUCUAAAUGAGAAGAUUGUUUUAUUUGUAACACUAAGCAUGGGAGCUGUUUCUUAGCAAACUUGUUUGGAAAGAUUCCUGUUGUGUUGUGUAUUAGAUUGCCCCAUCCUGUGUAUGAAGCUGAUUUGGUUUUUGUCCUCUUAAGUUCCUCUACUUUAUAGUUGUGGUUGUACUUAAAAAAACAAAAAACAAACUACAUUAUUUCAUGUCUUUAAAAAAGAUGUUUAAAUUUGAUCUUCAGAACACUGCAAAUGAUUAAAAACAAAAUAAUGGAAAAUACUACAACCUAAAUGAAUUCUUAAUGUCACAAGUAUUUUACUUUGAUGAUGUGCCUUUGAUUUAAUUUGGGACGCUUUUAAAAGGAUACUUUAUUUGUGUUUGUAAUAAUCUUUGACGAGUUUGGAAACAAAAUUUCUGCUUAAUUCAUCAUUUUCUUAAAAAAAAGUAACAUUUUGUUAGAAUCAUUCAUAAAUACCUCAUUUUUGUUGCAAAUGUAAAUGAGCACUUUUUUAAAAUUUCAUUUUCUCUUGCUUAUUGUCCAUAUAUUGAAAAAAACUCAUUUUAGGUAUGUUAAUUUUAUACCCAGCCAUCUUGCAAAACUCUCCUACUAGUCUAAUAAUAUUAGUAGACCCUUGGAUCGUGAUCCACAUAAUUAUGAUAAUAAU
ensembl:lncRNA